UCGCCUGUUAUCAAAAACAUCGCCUUCUGAAAUUUUUUAUAUAGAAGGUCCCGCCUGCCCUGUGACCAAGUGUUUAACGGCCGCGGUAUUUUAACCGUGCGAAGGUAGCGCAAUCAAUUGUCUUUUAAAUGGAGACCUGUAUGAAUGGCAUAACGAGGGUUUAACUGUCUCUUUAUCCCUGUCAAUGAAACUGAUCUACCCGUGCAGAAGCGGGCAUAAGAAUACAAGACGAGAAGACCCUAUGGAGCUUUAGACGCCCACCACCCAUAACCCAGCAGGCCUUUUAAGGAGCCCUUAACAUGAUGGGCAUGGCACAAACGUCUUCGGUUGGGGCGACCGCGGGAGAGAAGAGAGCUCCCACGUGGAUUGGGUUUAUCCUAAAACCCAGAGCCGCACCUCUAAGUCACAAAACAUUUGACCAAUAAUGAUCCGGCUUACUGCCGAUCAACGGACCAAGUUACCCUAGGGAUAACAGCGCAAUCCCCUCCCAGAGUCCAUAUCGACGAGGGGGUUUACGACCUCGAUGUUGGAUCAGGACAUCCUAAUGGUGCAGCCGCUAUUAAGGGUUCGUUUGUUCAACGAUUAAAGUCCUACGUGAUCUGA
rnacentral:rRNA from 1 species